rnacentral:rRNA from 1 species
UGAGGAAUAUUGGUCAAUGGGCGAGAGCCUGAACCAGCCAAAUCGCGUGAAGGAAGACUGCCUUAUGGGUUGUAAACUUCUUUUAUACAGGAAUAAAAACGGGGACGUGUCCCUUAUUGCAUGUACUGUAUGAAUAAGCAUCGGCUAACUCCGUGCCAGCAGCCGCGGUAAUACGGAGGAUGCGAGCGUUAUCCGGAUUUAUUGGGUUUAAAGGGUGCGCAGGCGGGCUUUUAAGUCAGCGGUGAAAUCUCGGGGCUUAACUCCGAAACUGCCGUUGAAACUGGGAGUCUUGAGUAUGGAUGAAGUAGGCGGAAUUCGUUGUGUAGCGGUGACAUGCUUAGAUAUAACGAGGAACUCCGAUUGCGUAGGCAGCUUACUAAGCCAUAACUGACGCUCAAGCACGAAAGCGUGGGGAUCAAAACAGGAUUAGAUACCCCUGGUAGUCCACGCCGUAAAACGAUGAUUACUAGUUGUAUGCGAUAUACCGUAUGUGACUAAGCGAAAGCGAUAAGUAAUCCACCUGGGGAGUACGCCGGCAACGGUGAAACUCAAAUGAAUUGACGGGGUCAUAGCUGUUUCCUG